UACGUAUGUCCCGAGCGUUAUCCGGAUUUAUUGGGCGUAAAGCGAGCGCAGGUGGUUUAAUAAGUCUGAUGUAAAAGGCAGUGGCUCAACCAUUGUGUGCAUUGGAAACUGUUAGACUUGAGUGCAGUAGAGGAGAGUGGAAUUCCAUGUGUAGCGGUGAAAUGCGUAGAUAUAUGGAGGAACACCGGUGGCGAAAGCGGCUCUCUGGACUGUAACUGACACUGAGGCUCGAAAGCGUGGGUAGCAAACAGG
rnacentral:rRNA from 1 species